rnacentral:rRNA from 1 species
GACGAACGCUGGCGGCGUGCUUAACACAUGCAAGUCGAACGGAAAGGCCCUGCUUUUGUGGGGUGCUCGAGUGGCGAACGGGUGAGUAACACGUGAGUAACCUGCCCUUGACUUUGGGAUAACUUCAGGAAACUGGGGCUAAUACCGGAUAGGAGCUCCUGCUGCAUGGGGGGGGUUGGAAAGUUUCGGCGGUUGGGGAUGGACUCGCGGCUUAUCAGCUUGUUGGUGGGGUAGUGGCUUACCAAGGCUUUGACGGGUAGCCGGCCUGAGAGGGUGACCGGGCACAUUGGGACUGAGAUACGGCCCAGACUCCUACGGGAGGCAGCAGUGGGGAAUAUUGCACAAUGGGCGGGAGCCUGAUGCAGCAACGCCGCGUGCGGGAUGACGGCCUUCGGGUUGUAAACCGCUUUCGCCUGUGACGAAGCGUGAGUGACGGUAAUGGGUAAAGAAGCACCGGCUAACUACGUG